CAGCAGCCGCGGUAAUACGUAGGGGGCGAGCGUUGUCCGGAAUUAUUGGGCGUAAAGCGCGCGCAGGCGGUCCUUUAAGUCUGAUGUGAAAGCCCACGGCUCAACCGUGGAGGGUCAUUGGAAACUGGGGGACUUGAGUGCAGGAGAGGAGAGCGGAAUUCCACGUGUAGCGGUGAAAUGCGUAGAGAUGUGGAGGAACACCAGUGGCGAAGGCGGCUCUCUGGCCUGUAACUGACGCUGAGGCGCGAAAGCGUGGGGAGCAAACAGGAUUAGAUACCCUGGUAGUCCACGCCGUAAACGAUGAGUGCUAAGUGUUAGAGGGGUCACACCCUUUAGUGCUGCAGCUAACGCGAUAAGCACUCCGCCUGGGGAGUACGGCCGCAAGGCUGAAACUUAAAGGAAUUGGCGGG
rnacentral:rRNA from 1 species